GAAGUGCGAUAAGUGUCAUGACUUGCAGAUCCCCGAGAGCUGACAAAUUUCUGAAUGCAAAUGGCGGCCAACUACGUUGGUCAUGUAUUGCAGAGUGUAGUUGUUCAUACUAAUCAUCCUCCCCAAUGGGAAGGGAUCUGCGCUUGUAUCCAAUGCGAGCGUGAAACGUCAGAGUGGACCGCCUUUCUCUCACGAGAAAGGCGAUCCAACUUCGGAAUCAAAAUCUUAGAAGUUAUGCUCUGGUGGCAACACACCAUUCUCCUAUUCACCUCUGCAAUGCAGGAAAACCCGCUGAACUUAA
rnacentral:misc_RNA from 1 species